rnacentral:rRNA from 1 species
AUUGAACGCUGGCGGCAGGCUUAACACAUGCAAGUCGAGCGGGGGAAGGUAGCUUGCUACCGGACCUAGCGGCGGACGGGUGAGUAAUGCUUAGGAAUCUGCCUAUUAGUGGGGGACAACAUCUCGAAAGGGAUGCUAAUACCGCAUACGUCCUACGGGAGAAAGCAGGGGAUCUUCGGACCUUGCGCUAAUAGAUGAGCCUAAUUCGGAUUAGCUAGUUUGUGGGGUAAAGGCCCACCAAGGCGACGAUCUGUAGCGGGUCUGAGAGGAUGAUCCACCACACUGGGACUGAGACACGGCCCAGACUCCUACGGGAGGCAGCAGUGGGGAAUAUUGGACAAUGGGGGGAACCCUGAUCCAGCCAUGCCGCGUGUGUGAAGAAGGCCUUAUGGUUGUAAAGCACUUUAAGCGAGGAGGAGGCUACUCUAGUUAAUACCUAGGGAUAGUGGACGUUACUCGCAGAAUAAGCACCGGCUAACUCUGUGCCAGCCGCCGCGGUAA